ACGCUGUAUGGUGAAUGGCUUGGCUUGGUAUGGCGAAGAAGGGCGCGGUAAGCUGCGAUAAGCUCCGGGGAGGCGCAAGCAUCCUUCGAUCCGGAGAUUCCCGAAUGGAGAAUAAUCUAAGGGGACUGCCGCAAGGCAUCCCUUUGUUCCGCAAGGAACGCAAACCCUGGGGAAGGAAACAUCUGAGUACCAGGAGGAAGAGAAAUCAACUGAGAUCCCGUCAGUAGGGGCGACCCAACGCGGGAGAGUCCAAACCGAAUCCUGACCCGAAAGGGCUGGGAGAUGUGGGGUUCGCCUUAGCAUAUGCAACCCUGAAUUCGUGCGGUCGAACUUGCCUGGAAAGGCAGACAAUACAAGGUGAUAGUCCUGUAGACUGUUCGAAGACGAGGUUGUGCGAAAGGCAGAGUACCUGGCUUUGGCAGUGGCUAGGGAAGACGGGGGAAAGCAGCCCCCAAGACUAAACACAAACCAAGACCGAUAGAGCACUAGUACCGCGAGGGAAAGCUGAAAAGUACCCCGAAAGGGGUGUGCAAAGAGCCUGAAACCAUCCAGCUACAGACGUUCAGGGCAUGAAAGAGGUAUGAUUCCACCGAUACCACCCGCAAGGGAGGUAAAGGUGGGUUAAGUGCCUCAGUGUCCUGAUUUCCGUCUAGAAACACGGGCCGGGGAGUUAUUUGUCAUGGCGAGCCUAAGGGUUCAAAGCCCGGAGGCGAAGCGAAAGCGAUUCUGCGUAACCCGCAAGGGUGUGGCAGGAGGUCUGAAAGGGCCUUAAAGUCAUGGCGGAUUAGACUAGAAACCGAUUGAUCGUGGCCAGAACAAGUUGAAGCCGGGCGAAAGCCUGGUCGAGGACUGCAAGGGUCUUAACGUGCAAUUUAGUCCCCUGAUUCUGGCCAAGGGGCCAAAAGCCUAUCUAAAUCGGUGAUUGCUAGUUCCCAUCGAAGCGGAUCCCAGUCCUGUCUCCAACGAUAUUGUUGACGUUGUAGAGCACCAACGAGAAAACAAGGAUUCGAAAGGAUCCACUUUCUUCUUGAACUCCGAAUGUGUCAACGUAGUAGACUUGGGGAGGCGGGUUUAUGUGGGGUAAGCCUCAUAACCGAGAGGGGGUUAACCCAGACUAGAGUUAAGGUCCCCAAAUUUUGGCUAAGUGUCAAGCAAAAGGGAGUCUUCGACCUAAAACAGCAGGGAGGUAAGCUUAGAAGCAGCUAUCCUUUAAAGAAAGCGUAACAGCUCACCUGCCGAGGUUGAGGGCCCCGAAAAUGGACGGGGCUAAAGCCAAGUACCGAUACUCUGGACUGCGUCCUUGUGGGACGUAUGUGGUAGAUGGGCGUGGUGAUUGGAUAGAAGCUGGGUCGUGAGAUCCAGUGGACCGAUCUCCAGUGCAGAUCCCGGUAGUAGUAGCAGCGUAGUCGGGUGAGAAUCCUGACCGCCGUAAGGACACGGUUUUCCUGGCAAUGCGUCAUCAGCCAGGAGUUAGCCGAUCCUAAGAUCAAACUCAACAGUAUUGGUCGAAUGAGGGAAUGCGGUUAAUAUUCCGCAGCCUUUAGUAUUCCGAAAGUUCGCAAGAAAACAUCACCUCUGAUGCUUCGAGACCAGCCUUACAGAGUUAUUCGCUCUGUUUAAUCAUCCAAGGGGGAGGGAGUGUCGUAAUGACGAGAACUCCUCCGAGGGGAGAAUAGCGGCCCGUUGGGGUCGUUAGGCCUAUUCCCGGAGACAGUGAAAACAGAGGAGGAUAGGGAUAUUGAAGAUCGUACCUAGAUCCGACACCAGUGAUCCUAGGUGAGAAGCCUAAGGCGUGUCGGGGAACUGUAGGUAAGGGAACUCGGCAAAUUAGCCACGUAAGUUAGCGAAAAGUGGUGCCUGCGUUCUUUAUGUAGAAUAGGGAUCGCAGGUUGCAAUAACGAGGGGGUCCCGACUGUUUAAUAAAAACACAGUAAACUGCAAGCCCGAAAGGGUGUGUACAGUUUAUGAAUCCUGGCCAGUGCAGGUACCUAAAACCUGGGUUCAACUGGGCUAAGGGCCUGUAAACGCCGGGAGUAACUCUGACUCUCAGCAAAACAGUUCGAGGAAAAAAGGGAGUCGCUAAAUCUGGCCAUAUGCUGGAACAUCUGAGUAUGCCAGGCUAGUCCCCAACUGGGGACUGACAAAGCCAUGGCUGCAGACAAUCAGCAGGAAAGGCUGAGUCAACCAGCCGCAAGGAUGGAUUGAUUCAGAAUCCUCAGAGACUGAACGCCAGAGGUCGCAUUCGCUGCGACCAUGUUACAGUCCGAACACUGCAGCGAUGCAGUGAGGCUCAGGUGAAGGAAGGAGAGCCCGCCUUGGUCGCAAGAUCGAGGUCCAAGGAAGCAACAGAUUGCUUAAGGUAGCCAAAUGCCUUGUCGGGUGAGUUCCGACGUGCAUGAAUGG
rnacentral:rRNA from 1 species